rnacentral:rRNA from 1 species
UACAGAGGUCCCAAGCGUUGUUCGGAUUCAUUGGGCGUAAAGGGUGCGUAGGCGGCGCGGUAAGUCGGGUGUGAAAUCUCGGAGCUUAACUCCGAGACUGCAUUCGAUACUGCCGUGCUUGAGGACUGGAGAGGAGACUGGAAUUUACGGUGUAGCGGUGAAAUGCGUAGAUAUCGUAAGGAAGACCAGUGGCGAAGGCGGGUCUCUGGACAGUUCCUGACGCUGAGGCACGAAGGCCAGGGGAGCAAACGGG